GCAUGGAUGGUACACAGCGGUGAUGUCUGCCGAUACACAGUCAUGUGGGGCACGGUGAAGCUUGUGCCAGUGACAGCCACAAGAAGAGGUGUCUGCUCGGAUGGUUUCAGAAGGCUGUCUGCACUCAGAGAAAGCCACACGUGCAGGAAGACUCCACAGGAACCCCACUGAGCUUAACCUGGAGACCAGAGGGCCAUGGGGAGAGCAGCAGUCGUGCUCAGCAGGACACCUGAGGCCUCCUCCAGCCAGAAUGAUCCAUCACUCCCAGCC